AAUGGGCGCAAGCCUGAACCAGCGAUGCCGCGUGAGUGAUGAAGGCCUUCGGGUUGUAAAGCUCUGUGGGGAGGGACGAAAGAAUCGGUUCUAACAGGACCGAAGUUGACGGUACCUCCUUAGCAAGCACCGGCUAACUCUGUGCCAGCAGCCGCGGUAAGACAGAGGGUGCAAACGUUGCUCGGAAUUACUGGGCGUAAAGGGCGUGUAGGCGGGAAGGUAAGUCGGGCGUGAAAUCCCCAAGCUCAACUUGGGAACUGCACUCGAAACUACCUUUCUUGAGUGCCGGAGAGGAAAGCGGAAUUCCUGGUGUAGAGGUGAAAUUCGUAGAUAUCAGGAGGAACACCAGUGGCGAAGGCGGCUUUCUGGACGGUGACUGACGCUGAGACGCGAAAGCGUGGGGAGCAAA
rnacentral:rRNA from 1 species